UACAGAGGUCUCAAGCGUUGUUCGGAAUUACUGGGCGUAAAGGGCUCGUAGGCGGCCUUCUAAGUCAGACGUGAAAUCCCCCGGCUUAACCUGGGAACUGCGUCUGAUACUGGGAGGCUUGAGUAUGGGAGAGGGAUGUAGAAUUCCAGGUGUAGCGGUGAAAUGCGUAGAUAUCUGGAGGAAUACCGGUGGCGAAGGCGGCAUCCUGGACCAUAACUGACGCUGAGGCGCGAAAGCUAGGGGAGCAAACGGG
rnacentral:rRNA from 1 species